AGUCAGCCAAGGUCAAUGUCAUUAAUAACAGAUGGGACUUUUUGGAGCACUUUAGUUCCACAGGCUCUUGAUCGUCUCCAUGUUUUUGCUAAACUCCAGUAAAGCGGUAGAUUGCUGAUUCCAAAACACAGAAGCACACAUACAGCCUACUUAAUACCUAACUCUUAAGGGGAAGCAAGUGUUAGAACCAAGAUUACAGAAAAAGGGUUGGCUGUUCCACAAGCCCUAGCUCCCUGCUCCUUGUGGUGGUGCCUAGAGCCAGGGACCUAGAGGAUAUGUAGUCUGGGUUAACAUCAGCGGUCAUUCGGCCAAGGGUUUGUGCUAACCGGGAUGAGUCAUUCCGGGCCACCUCGGCCUGGAGCCGCGCCCAGCAGACCAGCCUGGCUCGUCCCAGCGGGGCGGGCGGAGACGGAGGCCGAGCGGCUGGGAAACCGGUGCGCCCGGCCGUGUCUCGCGGAGCCCGCAGCCAUGGCUGGAAGCGAGCCCCGCGGAGCCGGCUCCCCGCCGCCCGCCAGCGACUGGGGCCGCCUGGAGGCUGCUAUCCUGAGCGGCUGGAGGACCUUCUGGAAUUCGGUGGGCAAGGAGCGGGCGACGCGGACGGCCUCCCGGAAGGAGGAGGCGGAGGAGACGAGCGCGCUGACGCGGCUGCCGAUUGAUGUGCAGCUGUAUAUCUUGUCAUUUCUUUCACCCCAUGACCUGUGCCAGUUGGGAAGUACAGAUCACUAUUGGAAUGAAACUGUAAGAGACCCAAUUCUCUGGAGAUACUUUCUGUUUCGAGAUCUCCCUUCUUGGUCCUCUGUUGAUUGGAAGUCACUUCCGGAUCUAGAGAUAUUAAAAAAGCCCAUAUCUGAGGUCACCGACAGCACAUGUUUUGAUUACAUGGAGGUUUAUAAAAUGUGCUGUCCAUAUACGAGAAGAGCCUUGAAAGCCAGCCGUCCUAUGUAUGGAGCGGUUACCUCUUUCUUACACUCACUGAUCAUUCAGAAUGAACCCCGGUUUGCUAUGUUUGGACCAGGUUUGGAAGAACUGAACACAUCUUUGGUGUUGAGUUUGAUGUCUUCUGAGGAUCUUUGCCCAACUGCUGGUUUACCUCAUAGGUAUUGGAUCUGGAGUCAGUUUCCAGUUGAGCAAUCAACACAAAUUCAACAUCCUGAUACUGUACUCAACUACCAGAAAGGAAAGAGACAGAGCGAGGGAGGAGCACACAAGCACGGUUAACAAGAUGUUCAGCCUACAGAGCGAGGGAGACGAGCAACAGGGGAGCCGCUACAGCGUUAUCCCACAGAUUCAGAAAGUGUGUGAGGUUGUAGAUGGGUUUAUCUACGUGGCAAAUGCUGAAGCUCAUAGACGUCAUGAAUGGCAAGAUGAAUUUUCUCGUAUUAUGGCCAUGACAGAUCCAGCUUUUGGAUCUUCAGGAAGACCAAUGCUGGUUUUAUCUUGUAUUUCUCAAGCAGAUGUAAAAAGAAUGCCUUGUUUUUAUUUAGCUCAUGAACUUCGUCUCAGUCUUCUGAACCACCCAUGGAUGGUCCAGGAUACAGAGGCUGAGACUCUGACUGGUUUCUUGAAUGGCAUUGAGUGGAUUCUUGAAGAAGUAGAAUCUAAGCAUGCGAAAUGAAGUUCCUUUGGGACCCUGGGAAGCCGCACGUCAUGGUGUAUGUGUUUCCGGUCCCUCCUGUUCCUGCCUCUCUGGAGGAGGGCUGUUUACUGGACAGCUACUACAGCUGGGCUUCUGACACUUUACCAUGAAUCAGCAGCAAGCUUCAAUCCUACUACUUUUCCACAAAAUGAACUCUCACAUUUUUGAUAAUUUUAUAUUUUCUGUCUUUUUGAAAAUAUUAAAUUCUGUAAAACCAAAGUUUGUGGUUCUUUCAUUUCUCAUGGUCUCUCUUUUGCUAUCAAGGUGGCCCCACUAGGAAGCAGUAAGCCUGCUUAGCACACCAUGGGAUCGUUAGGAUCUUUCAAGGACUCACUAACUGCUUAUC
rnacentral:lncRNA from 1 species